rnacentral:rRNA from 1 species
AUGGUGCUAGUAACCACGAGAGCGCUAUGGUAUCUGCUUUGGAGGCCGUAUGCCGUGGCCAGGUGGUUCCGACGGCAGGGCAUCAGAGGUCCGCCUUACAAUCUCCUGGUUGGGUCCCUGCCGGAGUGCCAGAAGAUGAUUGUCGCCGGGAGAGCCAAGGAUCUGGACACCAUCUCCCACGACUGCAUCACUACCGUGCAACCCUUCUUCCAGAAAUGGGCCUCCAUGUAUGGGAAAACAUUCCUAUACUGGCUGGGGCCGACACCAGCACUGUGCUCUACGGACAUGGAGCUGGUGAAGAAAGUGUUAACCGACAGGACGGACAUGUUCCAAAAAGACUACUCAAAUCCUAGCCUGGAAGCGGUUCUGGGGAAUGGGGUUGUAUUUGCAAACGGACACGACUGGAAGCGGCGGCGCAAAUUCAUCCACCCGGCUUUCAACCAAGAGAAGAUCAAGUCCAUGUCAGCAAUAACGUUGGAGUGCACACAGCAGACAAUGGAACGGUGGCGCAACAGGCAGCAAGCCGAGAUAGACAUGAUGCACGACUCCGACGAGAUAGCCAUGAGUGUCAUUGCGAGAGUGAUGUUGGGCAAGUGCUACAAGGAGGCCUGGGAGGUGUUCAUCGCCGGAAAGGAGCAGCUGAAGCUAGCUACUUAUGCGUUUGCGGAUCCUCCGGUACCUGGAUUAUGGUACCUGCCAACACGUCGCAACCGUCGGGCAUGGUAUCUUGACAAGCUUGUGAAACAUAAGAUCUCACAGAUCAUAGAGGCGCGACUCGCUAGCGGCGUCUACGAAGAUGACCUGCUCGGGCAGAUGCUGCAGCUGCAGCUGCAAACAUGUAGCAGCGGCAGCACCGAGACCCUGAGCACCGAGGAGAUGGUUGGCGAGUGCAGGACUUUCUUCGCGGCUGGGUACGAAACCAGUGCCAGCCUCAUUACCUGGGCGAUGUUCCUGCUCGCCAGCUACCCACGGUGGCAGGAGAUGGUCAGGGAGGAGGUCGUCCGGGAAUAUCCUGCUCACCGGUUACCCAUAGGUGACGCCCUCGGCAAGUUGAAGCUGAAGAAUAAACGCCGUGGUGACUUGCAGCUUAACAUGUUGCUCUUGGAGACACUGAGGCUCUAUGGCCCCAUAGCUUUCCUCCAGAGGAAGACUGCCUCAGACACUAUCCUAACGCACGUGAAGGUGCCGAAAGGAACGAUGAUAACAAUACCAUUAGUUUUGUUGCACCGGGACAAGGAGAUUUGGGGACCCGACGCCGACGAGUUUAAUCCGAUGAGGUUCCAGAAUGGCUUAUCGAGAGCCGCCAAGUAUUCACACGCGCUGCUGGCCUUCUCAUUCGGGCCGAGGGUUUGUGCCGGGCAAAACUUCGCCAUGGUUGAGGUGCAGAUUGUGAUAGCGACCAUCAUCAAGAGUUUCUCCUUCACCCUGUCCCCCACUUACGUGCACAAGCCCAGCAAUUUCAUCACGCUGAUGCCCAAGUACGGGCUCCCUCUCAUUGUGAGGAAUCUGCAGCUGACUGCAUGA